UACAGCUGCCGGCCACAGCCACAGCAACACAGGAUCCUUAACCCACUACGUGAGGCCAGAGGCCAAACCUGCAACCUCAUGGUUCCUAGUUGGAUUCUUUUCCGCUGUGCCACAAAGGGAACUCCGAACACAUUUUCUAUUGAGUCCUGAAAUGCCACCUUAAGGGUGGGAUUUCUUGGACCCUGUUUUCCUUGAACUCUGAUCCCGAGUUCCUUGCAUUGAAUCAUCUUGACGCAAAACCCUGCAAUGACAUCUCACCUCUGCACAAGCCAGCCAUUUGCCCACGGCUUUGCCAAGCACACUGACCUCUCAUAUGUAAACUCAAAAGGUAGGAGUGUUUGUCUUAGCUAUUACUGCCAGCAGCAGCACACUAGAAGUGCUUUGAGUACAUGAAAUUGCAGGUAGAGAAUCAGACCAAGUCUAAUUCCUGGUUCAAGGUUCUUCAGAGGCCAAGAGUUUCUUACUGGCAUAUAUGAUGACUGAACUUUUUUCCCCGACAGAUCGACCAUGUUGAUCAAACUCUCUAAGCCAGUUUCUGUCUGAUAUGCCAGUUUGAGCAGCUCUUGUCCUCCACUCCCUUGGGCAUCUAGCUGAUGGAGCUCAUGUUUCACUGUUUUCAUCUUAGGUUUACUAGUGGCAGAAAGCAGACUUUGAAUGGACUAUCAUUUGGAAAGAAUGGAGCACCCUGUGUUCCUCAAGGCAAUGAGGAAGUGGAUUCCAGCCUGAUUUUGCCGUCAGCUUGGUUCAGUCUAUCCUGUAACAGGGCAUUUAUCAGCUAUGGACUUGGAAUACAAGGCCUCAAAUGACUGAUCCUGUGCUCUCCAGAGAAAGCAUGACUUGGUUGAUUAGUCUCACAAGAUGAUUCUGCAACCCAGGUGUCCAGAGUUGGAAAAGCCUGUGCCUGCUCUGAAGAAUCAGUUACUAAUUUUUAGCCUCCCUAUGUGGAAAAUAAAGUCCUUUAAAUCAAAACGUUGUUGCA
rnacentral:lncRNA from 1 species